UUUCUUUUUCUUUUUCUUUUUCUUCAUCCGGGGUCCAAAACACCACUGCGUAGUAACGCAUUUUUUUAAUUUUGUUGUUUGAGUUUAAUACAUAUUUGUGUUGAUAAAAGAUAUUUGAACAACAAUUAUGGUCAUGUAUGCAUAGUGAGAUUUGAAUUUGGUUACAAAAGUUUUAACUCUAAUUCAGUGUGAGGAUAGGAUUUACAGGGGAUGGAAUGGAUAUUUCUAUAUGAAUCCUUAUUAUAUGUACCUGGAUGUGGAACAUAAAUCUCCUAUCAAGCAAACCUUUGAUUGAUUAGACAUAUUAUCUGAUCCAUCAUCAAGUGGUCAUGCCUAAUAAACUGUCAAGCACUACAAUAUAUCUCAUUAGGGUCCAUCUGUUAGGUGUUAAGUCGAAUUAGAGCUAAGAUCAUGAAGCUAGAAGCCAAAAACUUUGGUUGGGUCAAUUUGCAGAAGAAAUAAUCUUACGGCCAAACCAUAAAAUCUUCUGCUUCAGAAGCCACAAGAUAAGCAGAGAUUUGAACAGAUGGUGAAGGAAAAGCAAGUCAUUAGAUGUCCCCAGAAUGAGAGAAGCACCAUGCGAAGGUAAAUAAAAAGGAAAGACAUCUAAAAGCUAUCCAUCUACCUUGUAUGUAUCACUUUCUUUGCUCCUACUUGUCUACUUGUUUAAGGCAAAUUUGCAGAAAACAAUACUUUUUGGCAGCUUUAAGUAAGACAACUAAGCAAGAAUAUAUUACCAUAUAUAACUCUGCACUAGAGAGAGAGAGAAUACAAGCAUUAGCCAUUAAGGACCUUAAGAGAGCUAAACCAAUAAUACAGCAUUGCGUUUCAACUUUUUUUCUUGUAGAGAGAAAAGCAUCACAUUUUAACUCUUGGUGAUGCAUUUAUGCAAUGAAAAUUCCCCAGACAAAAAAUAUAUGUAUAUCAGUGUUUAUUUUUGCCAUUUGAAAAUUUCUGCAAUUUACGACAUUUAUAUUCCGCAAUUAGGACAUACUAUAUUGUGAAUUGCUAUUUCUGUUGCAAAAGAAAGAUGUAUAGCACAUGUUUAUAAGAGAAUAGAUUGAGAGAGAUAUCCCCAAUCAUGGAUGAGAGAUUCGUGAGCGAAAUAUGAGACGACAAGCUUAAUAGAUGCAAUGAAUUUGAUAAUUCAAUGAAAAGGACAGCUUCUUCAGAUAUUAGAGAAGGAAUGUAUCAUACAUGAAAAGAGUACAAGGAGAACAAACCAUUUCAAAAUUAACAUGUGGUGAGGAAAGUGGAGACAUAUAAAUUAUUCGGAUACAAUCGAUGUUGAAACGGAAGACACUGACCAUAUAUCUCCAUGGUCUCUUUUCGCAUUUCGAAUCUCCAAUAAUCGGAGGAUUUUUUUUUUUUCCUUUAAAUAUCUCUCAUUUACUGAAUAAGAGAUUAGAGUUAUCUUCUCUAUCUUAUGCUUUGCUAUAACACAAUCCAAGAUGAUUCUGUUUUACUUCUACAUGCGCCAAAAACAAAACCGUUUUGCUGCUUUUGUUGCAGUAGAUUUAUUGCUUCUGUUGUUGCCACUUCAGUGAGCUACUACAUUUUUAUGUUUGAUUAUGAUGGAUACUACAAACAGAAUUUGCAUAAAAAUGAAGGGGUAUGAUUGUUACUGGAUCUACCAUAAUGCUGUAUAGUAGUGACAAAUAUUACAAACAAAGUAGUAAUCUUGAUUGUAUUAAUUAAAUCGACCGUAAUGAAUCGGAAUGAUGGACUCAAAAGUUAGCUGUUGGGUGGGGUUGGAUGUUACUGCAACUUUAAAGAGAGAGAUGCCGAUGAUUGUGGCAUGGGGGCCAAGAAAGAGAAGGAAAUGAUGCUCUGAUCUAUUACAGCACACAUCAGAGAGGCCCACCCUACACCAUGCAUGAGCAUCCAAGAGCCACCACCUUGUUCAACAGUUUGAAAGAGUACACCCAAAAGAACGUAGGCUGAUACUGGAGGGCUUUUUUCUGGAAAGGGAGGAGCAUUGUAGCUGGGGGACAUUGCUUGGUGAGCGGGAAAAUAGUAUGUCGGAGCAAAAAAGAGGGGGGCGGGCCUAGGAGUCAAGGACUUAGAAGCAACAAACGCUGCUUUACUAGCAAAGUGGUGGUGGAGGUUUCUCUCAGAUAAGCCCUCGCAAUAGGGCGGUUUUAUCGGAGGUGUUUGCUGUUCUAGAAGGAAACCCCUUAGGGAAGGAGUGUCCUUUAGACCUUUCUCCCAGUGAUAGUGAAGUGUACUACAGAUCAAGCAUAUCUUCAUAUGUGGUAUUUCUUAUACAAUAGAAGACGGUAGUAGUGUAUCUUCAUAUGUGGUAUUUCUUAUACAAUAGAAGACGGUAGUAGUGUCAGUUUUUGGAUGGAUAGAUGGAGUGGCCAAAUGUCCCUGCAGUCACUCUUUCCUAGAAUUUUUAACGAGGUAGCAUCAAAAAAUCAUAGGGUUAGAGAUUGUUUUGGAAGGAACGGUUGGAGAUGGCAUAAGAUUCUACAGGGCUUUGCUCCAGGAUCUCAAUCCGAUAGUGAAUCAAUAUUGGAGUUGAAGGAGCUACAAGCCAACAUUACUUUCACGGACAACCGAGAUGAAGCCGGAUGGAGAUGGAAUUUAACAGAAAUAUUUACGGUUAAUUCAGUUGUCCACGAAAGGAGGUUCAUUCAGUUGAGGAAAACCAAAACUCCCUUGAAAGUUAAAAUUUUUGGGUAGCUGGUACUGAAGCAUAGGGUACCAACAAGAGAUAAUCUGUCGAAAAGGGGACGGUCAGGAGAGGUGUGUUGUGUGCUUUGUAUGGAAGAACUUGAGACGUCGACCAUCUUUUCGCUAGUUGUUGUUUCUCAAAAGCAUUGUUGGAGUGCUUUCUACCAAAUAAGCAAUUCCUGAGUACCUGUUCUUCAACCGGCGCGCUCUGGAAUGCUAGCAACGUUAAGUAGGGCACUGUAGGGAGAAGGGAAUUAUCAACCAUCGUUACUGUCUGCCAUGGUUGGAGCGGAAUAGAAAAAUCUUCGAUAAUAGAAAACUAACGUUGAGACAACUAUCGGUGGAUUUACGAUCUUGUAGGAACCUUUAGAAGCUGCAUUGCAAUUAUUAUUAUUAUUAUUUUUUUAACUUACGAA